UCCUACAGCAGAUGGCCUUUGGACUUGAACUGCAACACCCGCUCUCUCGCCUGGGUCUCCAGCCUGCCAGCCCACCCUGUGGAUUGUGGACUUGCCAGCCUCCAUAAUUUUUCUAAGCCACGAUAUCUCAAUAGCAGUACUUUGAAAUAAUCAAUGAAACGAUAACAUCUAAAACCCGUUCUCUACUGAACUUCUUUCCUGCAACCUACAGCUGCCAAGCAAGUCAUUCAAGAGCUGCAGUCAUUUGAAAGUGUGCUCUGUCCAGCACCAGCCACUCUUCUCCUGGUCGUGGCGCCUGCUUUUCCUCUGAGGACUUUCCCCUGUGCUUAUUCGCAGCAUAUGUGGUUUGAUGGAACUGAAUUUGAAGUGGUCACGUGGUUAGAGCCUUCAUUCUACUCUCCUCACUCCAGGAAUUGCUUCAGGAAUGGAUAUGCAGCCAGCUGGGUCAGUACUUUUGUUCCCACUGUUGAGGAGAGAGAAGCUCCCUUUAAUACAGGCCUUGAAUCUGUAGCUUGGACCUGCUACAGCCAUUCUGCCACCAUGAGGAGAGAGUAUCUUUGAGAAUGAAACCCACAGAGAAGAAACAGAAUAGAGAAACCGGAGAGAGAAAUGGAUCCUGAUGCCUCAUUUGAAUCUCUGUAUCCAACCAUGCCUCCAGGUCUACGCACUCCAAUCUGGCAGCCACCCGUCACCUGUGACUAACACCUCA
rnacentral:lncRNA from 1 species